CCAUGUUCCACCACAACCACGGUUGUGAGCUCAGAAGAUUCACUCAACUUUCAUCAUAAAGCAAUAAUCAAGCCCAGUUGUAUGAUUCACAAAGGGUCCCCACAGUUGUCAUUACAUCUGAUCCUCAAAGCAACCCUGUGAGCUCAGAGAGGCCAUGGAUUUUGACAACCAGGAGUUGAUGCCUCAGGGUGUGAAGCCUCAGUGUGUGAAGCAACUCCUGCACCACAUGACCUCUUGUUGAUACCAGAGUGAAUGAAACAGAAGUAGGCAAAGGCAUAAACAAGAUGCAGAUGGCUCUGUUAUUAGCAAUGCAGGAAGACUUCAUGAUAUUCCAGCUUCAAUUCAGGUGUCCUCAGCUUUUAAACUCACUCUGAAGAAAGUGGACAUAUCUGCUCUUUUUGACAGUUCCUCCCAUUUUGGCUAUCAGUGAAGGUAAGUUCACAGAAGCGAGACCUCUUGAAAGAGGUGGGAACCAUGGCCUUGAUGGGAAAACCUACCAUUGAAGAAAUUAUUAUCACUGUGUUCAGACUACAGGUUUAAAUACUCCUCAAUUAUUCCACCUUGGAAUGGGACCUUCUCCCACGCUACUAUUGGCAAUUAAAGUCUUAAUGGGGUUCAGGACUCAGCAAACCAUUCUUCAUGAGAAAUUCUCUCCUUUAGGUAACAGCAGCAUAGAAGUCAUCUUGCUUCACUGUUUGACUUCAGUAAUAAACUCAAUAAACAUAAAAACAGGAGUCGACCCUUCUCCCAGGAAAGAUCUUCCACUGGUCAUUUGAGUCUAGCAUCUAAGUUGUGUAACCAUAUCAUGCAGAAGGCCAUAACCUUCUUUUCCUCUUGAUUCAGGUCACAUCUUCUUUUCCUGAUCUCCUAUGAAGUGGAGGGACCAAUUAUUAUCCUCUUUACAAAAAUGCUUAACGCUAGAAUCACAGUGUGUUCUGGUUUCCAAGCCAAGGUGACUCACGUAUGCAGCUACAGGGGUCAACUUGUUCCAUAAUCAGCCUUGACAUUUCUGAAAAUGUUCUUUAAGCUUCUGUUUUAAAAUUUCUAUUGCAGUAUAAUUGUUUUGCAAUGUUGUGUUAGUUUCUGUUGGACAGCAAAAUGAAUCACCUAGACAUAUACACAUAUCCCCUCUUUUUUGGAUAUCCUUCCCAUUUAGGUCACCACAGAGCCUUGGGUAGAGUUUCCUGAGCUAUACAGGAGGUUCUCACCAGUUAUCUAUUUACACAUAGUGUCAGUAGUGUAUAUAUGUCAAUCCCAAUCUCCCAUUCCUCCCACCCUUUUUCCCCCUUGAUAUCCACAUGUUUGAUCUCUACAUCCGUGUCUCUAUUUCUGCUUUGUAAGUAAGAUCAUCUAUGCCAUAUUUCUAGGUUCCACAGAUGUGCAUCAAUAUACAGUAUUUGCUUCUCUCUUUCUGACUUCACUCUAUAUGACAGUCUCUAGGUCCAUCCACGUCUCUGCAAAUGACCCAAUUUUGUUCCUUUUCUUGGCUUAGGUACUUUAUAAUAAUAAACUGAGUGAGUGAAAAUUGUUCUUCUAGAAAACCCAGCCUUCAGGGAGGGAGCUUAAUUUACCGUAUUUGCUAUGAGUUCCAGGUGUUGCACACUCCCUUACAAUAUUUCCAGAAGGUCCAGCUGGCCCCACAAAGGUCUACAUGGACAAUGGACAUUUCCUUCAAGGGUCCCUUGUUUGCUGAGUUCCUGUCUUCAAGGACUUUCUGGGAAAAGGGGGUCACAAGUCACAGGGGUGUCUGUGAAUGGUACCACCCACCGAAAGCCUCACGUUGUCCCUGACUUUCUCACAGUAAGUUCUAAAAUAAGAGGAAAAGCUGCCAGGAAGCACGUCUGUUGUGCUAUCUGACUAAGCAGAGGGGCAGGAAUUGGUGGUGGGGUGAUAGAGGGCACUGUCAGCAUUGUCUCUAUUUCUACUCCACCCUGUGGUUCUGGCUGAAUGGACAAUAUCAUCCCUGGCAAAGCAAAGUAUAAAGCUUGGGAGGGUCUUGAAGAUCAAGUUUAUCUUCAAGUUCAUUUUACUGCUAUGACGUUGAAGCCUCCCCAGAUUUGCUUUCAUGGCAGAUUCUG
ensembl:lncRNA